rnacentral:rRNA from 1 species
UACGAAGGGGGCUAGCGUUGCUCGGAAUCACUGGGCGUAAAGCGCACGUAGGCGGCUUCGUAAGUCAGGGGUGAAAUCCUGGGGCUCAACCCAAGAACUGCCUUCAUGACUGAAAAGCUUGAGGAUGUGAGAGGUUGGUGGAAUUCCGAGUGUAGAGGUGAAAUUCGUAGAUAUUCGGAAGAACACCGGUGGCGAAGGCGGCCAACUGGCACAUUUCUGACGCUGAGGUGCGAAAGCGUGGGGAGCAAACAGG